rnacentral:rRNA from 1 species
GACGAACGCUGGCGGCGUGCCUAAUACAUGCAAGUCGAGCGAAGUUUUUCUGGUGCUUGCACUAGAAAAACUUAGCGGCGAACGGGUGAGUAACACGUAAAGAACCUGCCUCAUAGACUGGGACAACUAUUGGAAACGAUAGCUAAUACCGGAUAACAGUAUUUCUCGCAUGAGAGAUAUUUAAAAGUUGGUUAUGCUAACACUAUGAGAUGGCUUUGCGGUGCAUUAGCUAGUUGGUGGGGUAAAGGCCCACCAAGGCGACGAUGCAUAGCCGACCUGAGAGGGUGAUCGGCCACCCUGGAACUGAGACACGGCCCAGACUCCUACGGGAGGCAGCAGUAGGGAAUCUUCCGCAAUGGGCGAAAGCCUGACGGAGCAACGCCGCGUGAGUGAAGAAGGAUUUCGGUUCGUAAAGCUCUGUUGUUAGGGAAGAAUGGAUAUGUAGUAACUAUACAUGUAAGAGACGGUACCUAACCAGAAAGCCACGGCUAACUACGUG